CUCAACCGCUCUGACGUCACGCCGCCGACGGUGGCCGAGUGAGGACACAACGUCACGCACGGACAAGAUGACGACGGGAUGCAGGACGGCGAGCACCUCUGGGACAAGCGCACGCAGUGACUCAUCCUGUCCUCGUUCUUCUGGGGCUACCUCUGCACACAGAUCCCGGGCGGCCUGCUCGCGAAGAAGUACGGGCCGCGAUGGACGUACGCGGGGUUUCAGUUCACUGCCUCCGUGUUGACGAUGCUGUGUCCGUGGGCGACGAGGGUCGGCUGGCGGGGACUGCUCGCCAUGAGAUUUCUCUCAUGUUCAAAUUCAAAUUCAAAUUGAUAAUAAUUCAGAUGAUUCAGAUAGUUAUUCAGAAAUUCAUUGAAUUUCA